GUCUACAGCCAUACCAACCUGAACAUACCCGAUCUCGUUUGAUCUCAGAAGAAUUGAAUAGAGCUGGAAGAACUUUUUCCAAAAUAUUACAGAUGUGGCUGUUGGCA
rnacentral:rRNA from 1 species